CAAUGUGGUAUUACAGAUAGAUAUGGGGAAGUAGAUCUCAAAGUAGGUGCACAUUGGAAUUGCCAGGGGACCUCUAAAAAACACUGAUAACUGGUUCUCACCCCUCAGAGAUCCUGAAUUAAUUGGUUAAGGGUGCAGCCUGGGCAUUGGGAUUUUUAAAGCUCCCCAGGUAAUUCUAAUGUACAGCCAAGGUUGAGAACCACUGAAUUAGAAGGGCAGGGAGUUAUGGCAGGCCUGGAGAAUAUGUUUUAAUGGACUAUCUUCUGCUGUUUUUAUGAUCUAGGUAAUUUUUUUUAUUAAAGUUGAUGUUUUUUUCCAAAUUUUUUGCCUAAUAUUAAAUAUUAACCAUAUAACUACAGAAUUAUAUCUAAUAUUAUUUUUUUUCUAUAUUGUCCUGUCAACAUAUCUCUGUGGGACUUCCUAGGGCACCAGGCACUGUGUUUUUUCAAUGUUGAAAAUCAAUGAUAAAAUCUCCACUAACGAGAAAUGUAUGUGGAUACUUUUGAGUCAACAGGCAUGUGAAGGAGACAGCUAUAGAAGAAUUUGCCGAUCAAGGACUGCUAGAUGUUAACUGAAGAGGUAAAUAUGUCAGCAUUUAUUUCUCUCUGGAAUUCGUCAAAAUUUAUCCUACAGCAAGUGACCUCUUACACGUGCUGAAGAAAUACCUCACCUCUUCUGCUUACAACUGUUAAUUGAACUUCUCUCUGAAGCCUAUGUUUCCAAGUUAUCCAGUACACUUGCUUUACAUAUUUACUACCCAGCACUUGAAUAGUUCUUUUUUAAAAAAUUAUAAUUAGGCACCCCCCCUCCCACCAAACACCCCUUAGAACUAGUAUAGCCACACUUGGAGUGAGUAGUGACAGCUAAAAUCUGCAGUGAUAAUGAAAAGUCUAAAAGGUAUGAUAAAAGGAGGAUUCUCUUCCCCCCAAUCCUACCUUCGCUCCUGGACCCAAAGUCCAAGGACUGAUAUGGCCAAUUUUCAUAUUAUUUUUACAUAAAUUCUAGCCAAGCAUAUUGCUAAGGUUGGCUGUGGAAUUGAGAAUCAAUAAGAAAUGUGAAUAUGGGGGGUGGGGCAGAGAAAGACAGCAAUUUUUCUACUGUUAUGUUUUAUUACUAAAGUAACACAAACAAAUGUUUAAUCCACAUCAGCUUUUUUUCCUCCUCAGAUUUGGGCACAGAGACAUGUUAUUUUUGGGUGGUAGAAGAGGGGAACAUGCAGAGAGAGAGGAUUUGACAGAGGCAUAUUUUGGUAAUGUUUUUAAAAAAAAAUUUUAACACUUCUGAGGGUUUACAGAGGGAAAGAAAGCUGAUUAAACAAGGCCAAGUGUUUCUGUCGGCUUAAGGGUGAUAUCAUACUUGUGUUCAAGAUGAGAAGUGUUGCAACUACAGGCAUCAUUUCUAUCCGCUUUGUGCCAGAAAGGUAAACACUGGAAUGCAUUGUGGAUUAAAACAAUAAGAAAUCCCUUUCCUCUCAGGCUUUCAAGGCCGUGUUAAUCGGGUGUAAUUUUUAAUGAACACUAGCUGCUUGGUACUCAUUCAAGACAUUUCAUUAGAAGGUAAUUCAUUUAAAAAUCAACAUUUCAACCAUAUCAAGCUGUAACCUUUCUUGAAAUGUAAAUGAAUGGUUUAAAUGAGAAGAUUAAUAAAAAAAAAGGGAUGUUCCAAUUCCAAGCAUGGCAUGCUAUGUAUUUUUAAAUUUGUCUAUGCCAGAUGCUGUCAGUCAGAACAAAAAACUGUCCAAGCAGACAAUCUGUGCGUCUGAAUGUUGAUCAUGUUGGAAAGUACAGGGGGGAGGGGGGGAGAGUGUGUCAAGGAUUCAUGGUCCUUCAUCUUUGCAGUAGAGCAAACACGUCUCUCAGUAUAGCGACAGACAGCUGCUUCCACUUUCUAAUGUGCCCUAACUUAGAUCACUGAAAGAAUUGUCAGCACUCAGAGAAACACACAAAGAUAACACAGCCAGCUGCCAUGGAGGGGAAAAACAGCACAGCUCAGAAGAAAUGGGAUUUGUUCCAUUUGCAUGAUGCUGCCUCCCCUGGGCCCCUUUCUUUCAAAUCCAAAGCACAAAAGACAACACUUAACAUAUUUGCUUAAAGAUGACAACCUCAUGUUGAUUUCAUUUGGAUGUAACAGUGUCAGGAUUACAGAUAUAAGAAUAUAUUAUAUCUGUAACAGAGACUGACAAAUGUACCCAUCAGUGGAACUGUCUGAUUCAUCUGCUUAUACAGCCAUUUUACCAUCCCAAGGGUGCCAUCUAAGUAGUAACUUUAGAAGACUGAAGGUCUAAUUUUAUUACACCACAUUUCAACCUACUAAACAAUAUUAUUUCUAAAAUAGAUCAUUUUUAUUGGAAGUCUCCCUGAUGAAAAAUCCAGUAGACACCAGAGAAUUUAUGAACUGUAUGGGUCCUUUGAACUCAAUAUACUGCCCAUUUUAAACAACUUUUCUUGCUAUAUGGCAAAAUCCCAGUAUCAAAUAAGUGAAAGUUAGAGAGAGAGAUAAUAUGUAUGUUUUGAAUGUCUAACUAUAUUGAUAUAAUAAACAGAUUUUAUAUAUACACAGAAAGAGAGAGAGAGAUUAUAGAUUAUAUGGAUAACUAUAAAAUCAGGCCUUAACUUGGUUCAUUUGAAUAAAUUCUUUGUAACCACUUACUUCUGUCUAUCCCGUUACAUUUCUUCAUACAGCAUCCAUACUUCAGUAGCAGCUAUAGGAAUAAUCAUUGCCUGUCAAUAUCUUUUGUAUGUAUACUCAAUCUGAUUUCUGGUUAAGGUAGUUUUUAGGCAGAAGAUUUGACAAGAGAAUAAUUUAAAGCUACACUGGCUAGCCACUAGUCAUUAUAAAAUGUACAGCUAAGGAAACCACGAUUCUUAUUUAAAGCCUAUGUACUGUUAAAAAUCUUUACUCUCCAUGGCUUUAUGGAUUUUACCUUUAUUUUUUUAAGCAAAUAAAAAGAUUUACGAUGAUAUGAUUGAACUGAUUUAUUUACAUCUACAUUACUUUAUUUACUUGAUCGGAAUUAUGGGGAAGAGAAGAGAGACGCAGGACAACAUAGAGAGGGACCAGUCAUUUUCUUUACAUACACAGACACACGCACACAUACACAAACACACAGAUAAAUGUCUGGGCCCAUGCGGCCCCACAGCCCAACCAACUGACUUCCCAUAACAAAAUGCUGGCUCCGUGUUCCUGGCUUUGUCCAAAGGAACACUCUAGUGCUUGUUGCUAUUUACUGGCAACAGUAUAAUUCACUCAUUUGGUCUUGUUUUAUAAAAUAGAGAAACUGCUAUAUGUAAAAUUUCUGCACAGCAGAUGGUUACCAAUCAUUAUUUUCCAUUUGUUUAGUUUCUAGUAAGAAGAAGAAAACCUGUGGGGUAGUGAUGCAAAGAAAACUAGCAGCCUGCAUGAUAAGCCAACCAGUGCCAGAAGCAUUAAAAAAAAAAAUCACUUUUAUCACACAGUAUAUCAAGACUAAAUAUAAUUUUGGAGGAUGGGGAAGGUUAUUCAUCCCCAUUCCCAUCCAUAAAGGAAAAUGCCAUUUGAAUAAUUUAUUUUAUUUCUAUGUAUAAAAUCCUCUACAAUUUAGUCUCUAUAUUUUUUAAAAGUGAUCAAAGUUUCUAGAAGCAACUUAUUAUCACCAUUAAUGUUUGUAUUCACCCAAGCUGAAAUCACUUUCUUUACCUCUAAGUAGCCCAGUUGUCCAACAGAAAAUGGGAAAUAGGAGCCAUUUGUGGACAAGUGCACAUGCACAGAAAAUUAAGCUGUAAAUAUCUGGACCAGGUUAUUACUAGAAUCUGGAAACAUCUGGGGCUACAGAACAAGCCAAGCCCCAUUUCCACAAUGUCCAGGUAAUUGCUUAAAUGAUUUAUACCUUACUGUUUCUAUUAAAAAUGUCUUUAAAGAGAAAACAUUUGUAGGCUUGGUUCUGCAAUAAAAACUGGUAUCUGAUUUCACUCGUACAAAAUCUUGUGAAAGAUACUACCUUUCUUCAAGGACAUAUGCACGACUAAACUAAACCCUGGACAAAGACUGAGUGCUAAAAGAAGGCGUGGUCAGCCACUCAAAGAAAACAAUCGUAUUAUGACAGCAAAUUUUAAGUGGUUUAUUUGUGAUUAGUUUCUAUUCUAAUCAGAAGAAUCCAUUAAAAACAUUCUUUUCAUGCAUAUGUGACAAAUAUAUUCAUGCAUUUUAGGGUGAACUUGUACCUCAAUAUCCAAUUUCAAUUUCAGUUUUAAUUACUUUCUCAUAAAUCUUGUUUGCUGAGACUUCAGCUGAAUAUCAAACCAAACCUAACCCCUAAGGGACAAAUAAGUGCCACCUCUCAGACAGACUUGGGACACAUAGUUAGGAAUCUGGAGAGAGAUUUAAAUUGGUUCACUAAGAUGGUGUCUGUAUGGAGCUACCGACUGGUCCAUUCACAGUGAAAGAACUUUCAACACUGUCAUCUGUUUCAUAGACAGGUUGCUCUACCGAAUACAUACACACACACAUAUACACACAGAGUUAUGUGCUUGGAUUCACCUGAAAAAAUUUUUAAUUUCAGAUUUUAAGCCAAGAGGACAAAUAAAGUUUCAUAGUCUUCAAAAUUUGCCAUGUCUAGACUGAGCCAAAAAUUCAAUUGCUGGCAGCUGUUAACUAUGCACAUGGAGUGAAAAUAAAAAAGAAAGAAAGAAAGAAAAAGAAUGAAAGGUCAACAACAAAAUAAACCAUUGACCACUCACUUCUAAGCAUAGCUCCUAUUUUGUGGCCACCCACUUACAUUACUACCCUCUGAGAGGAAACACCCAAUUUUCCUCCAAGAGAAAACUAAAGGAAAAUGGCUGGCAUUUUAAGUGUGAAGAAUCUGCAUGAAUGUUUUUAUUUACUUAGUUUAGAAACCCACAACUUCCUGAUUAUAAACCAAGCAGAAUCUUAAGCCUGUAUCUUUUAAAUCUUCCCUUGAUUUAAUUUGGUUCUUGGCAAGCUACCAUUAUAAGGCUUUACAAUUCAUGGUCUUUACACACAGUCUGAUGGAUUUUAAUUUAUAUUUUAGAAGUUUAACUUACUUGAAGUUCACUGAAUGGUUGGAAAAACCAACUUAACAAAGGAAUUACACACAUGGGUCUUAAUUGUUGCAAACUGCAAAAAUGCUUUUGCUACUUUUAACAAAUUGUUUCACAAUCUUUAUUAUUCUCCCUACAAUGUACUGACCUUCAGUGUUGAGUCUCUUUGCUGAAGACACAGUGUUUUUAUGCAAUUAACUAAGCAAUAUUUGUCCAUUGUAGCUCACUUAAUGGCACAUCUUUGUGAUGGUACAGGUCAACAAUCAGUGCUGCAGUUGUUUUCUUCUCCACAGAGUGUAUGAGAUCAACCUAGAUUUCAAUAUGAAGUGGGAAGAUAGCAUCCAGAACUUUUCAGCUCUGAAGAGCCCAAAUUGGAAGAAAACUAGUGAGCUUUCAGUAAAGGUUACAGAUUCUCUUAGCAAAACUAUGUGUUUAAAAGAAUGACAAUAGUGUCUGUUUAUUUUUUUUUCUGGGUUCUUUCACGAAGCAAUGUGAACAAGUGCUUUUCUCUAGUACAUCUUUAGGUUUAAAAACACAAAUACAAAGUAGAAACCUUGUAAAAUACUGUUGACUAAUUCAUUACAAUUUCAACAUUUGAUCAAAUUGAAUUUCCCUUAGACAAUUUUAUAAUGUUAUUUAUUGUAACAUUAGUGACAGAUCUGAGAAAGAAACUGACCCUUCCAAAAGCAUGCAAACACUACUGGUAAAGAAAUUGAACCCCUAGAAGGCAAGGUCAUUGGGUAUAAUCCCAGCUAAAUUGUUUACUGCCUAGUAUUUAGUAAAAAAUAAAUUAAUAGUGUCAGACACUAAACAUAGAACAAAGAAAUGCCAAUUAAAAUGUUAACCAAAGACACUGACAAACUAAGCUGUCUUAUCAAUUGUAGAUCAACUAGUUUGCAUCUCACUUUUUACCACUCCAAGUACCAUUAUGUUAGGAAAGAAAUCUGUUUUGAGUACUGAUAGGGCACAGAUUUGCACACUGCUUAUUUAUCAGAGAAAGGACAAAACAGAAAAAAUUCCUUAGGAGGUGCUGAUUUCCCAUGUUCAACCAAAGGCUGAAUAACUAACUGUCAAUCAACUCUAUGCUGGUAAGAAGUUACUCUAGAAGUUUCCAAGUCUAAUAGUUUAUAAUUCUGUACCCUCAUAUUUUUCUGACUGAAAAUAUGAGGAAAAAAAGUAGAUAGAGCAUAAUGAUUAUAAGUUAUGUGAUAUUGCCUGUAAUCAACGUAAGCUAAAGAUCUGUGUUUUAUAAGAUUUUAAAGAUAGCAUAAUGAUGUUGUUUUUUAUUAAAUAGUCUAAAUGCUCUCUUGUACAAAGAUACAAAAAUAGAAUUAAUAGCUGUAACUCUUUUUAGGUAUAUAAUUAUAAAACUAUUCUUCAGGGUUAUAAUGUCUUCUUUGGUAAUUAAAUUACAUAAAGAGUACAGAAAUUUCAAUUUUUAAAAUGAAAUCCAUAAUUUUAAUAAGUCUGUUC